CCUACGGGUGGCAGCAGUGAGGAAUAUUGGUCAAUGGGAGAGAGCCUGAACCAGCCAAGCCGCGUGAGGGAAGACGGCCCUAUGGGUUGUAAACCUCUUUUGUCGGGGAACAAAACCCGGGACGUGUCCCGCACUGCGUGUAUCCGAAGAAAAAGGAUCGGCUAACUCCGUGCCAGCAGCCGCGGUAAUACGGAGGAUGCGAGCGUUAUCCGGAUUUAUUGGGUUUAAAGGGUGCGUAGGCGGUCCGUUAAGCGUGCGGUAAAAUGGCGGGCUUCAACCCGGUCGGGCGGUUGAAACUGGCAGACUUGAGUUGGCGAGAGGUAUGCGGAAUUCGCGGUGUAGCGGUGAAAUGCGUAGAUAUCGCGAAGAACUCCGAUUGCGAAGGCAGCGUACGGGAG
rnacentral:rRNA from 1 species